UUUCCGUAGGUGAACCUGCGGAAGGAUCAUUAUCAAAAGUCAAGUCGGGGGCUGUAAAGCUCUCGUCUACACCCAUGUCUUUUGCGUACUCUUGUUUCCUCGGUGGCGCAAGCUGCCGAUUGGACAAACCAAAACCUUUUUUAUAAUGUUUUUCUGAGUAAACAAGCAAAUAAAUUAAAACUUUCAACAACGGAUCUCUUGGCUCUG
rnacentral:misc_RNA from 1 species